UAAUAUUUAAUUCUGGUGUUUAUUACUAGAAUCGCUCUUAAAUUAUUACAGGUUUUAGAUCAUAAGCUGACAUCAAGCGUAAAGCUUGUGAUGCAAAAUUUUAUUUCAGCUUCGAACAUCAGUUCUAUAAUUUAAAAAAAAAAAAAUUGAAUAUCGAGUAACAGCUUUCUAUUUUGUGUCUUAAAAAAAAAGAGAUUGCAAGUUUUCUCCGAUAUAUCCGAAGCAUCAGCAUACUAUAGCCGGAAAUGAAGUGAUGAAAUGACAUUGUACGAUCCCUGCUCAUUUCAUUUCAUCUACAAAUAUUAACCAUUAAUACAACAAAAGAACAUCAUUACUCUUAACCAUGCCAAUAGCUCCCCUUGGAUAUACCAAUAUGUCAAAAAUCAUGUUGAGACAAUUUAAAUGCCAAUAUAUAAUCUACAUGG